GGGCGGGUAGCUCAGUUGGUAGAGCACGGGGUUGAAAAUCCCGGUUGUCGGCAGUUCGAGUCUGCCUCUGCCCA
rnacentral:tRNA from 1 species